rnacentral:rRNA from 1 species
UACGGAGGGUGCAAGCGUUAUCCGGAUUUACUGGGUUUAAAGGGUGUGUAGGCGGGCUCUUAAGUCAGUGGUGAAAUCUCCGGGCUCAACCCGGAAACUGCCAUUGAUACUAUUAGUCUUGAAUUUUGUUGAGGUAGGCGGAAUAAGUCAUGUAGCGGUGAAAUGCUUAGAUAUGACUUAGAACACCAAUUGCGAAGGCAGCUUGCUAAACAAACAUUGACGCUGAGGCACGAAAGCGUGGGGAUCAAACAGG